rnacentral:misc_RNA from 1 species
GAUGAAGAACGCAGCGAAAUGCGAUAAGUAAUGUGAAUUGCAGAAUUCAGUGAAUCAUCGAAUCUUUGAACGCACCUUGCGCCCUUUGGCUAUUCCGAAGGGCAUGCCUGUUUGAGUAUCAUGAACACCUCAACUCUCAUGGCUUGCCGUGAUGAGCUUGGACUUUGGGGGUCUUGCUGGCCUGUGGUUGGCUCCUCUCAAAUGAAUCAGCUUACCGGUGUUUGGUGGCAUCACAGGUGUGAUAACUAUCUACGCUUGUGGUUUUCCACCAGGUUAACCUUCAGCGAUGGAGGUUCGCUGGAGCUCAUAAAUGUCUCUUCUUGGUGAGGACAGCUCUUUGAACGUUUGAUCUCAAAUCAGGUAGGACUACCCGCUGAACUUAAGCAUAUCAAUAAGCGGAGGA